rnacentral:rRNA from 1 species
GCAAGUCGAGCGGAAACGAUGGGAGCUUGCCCCCAGGCGUCGAGCGGCGGACGGGUGAGUAACGCGUAGGAAUCUACCCAGUAGAGGGGGAUAGCCGGGGGAAACCCGGAUUAAUACCGCAUACGCCCCACGGGGGAAAGGCCGGGAUCUUCGGACCGGUCACUAUUUGAUGAGCCUGCGUGAGAUUAGCUAGUUGGUGAGGUAAAGGCCUACCAAGGCGACGAUCUCUAGCUGGUCUGAGAGGAUGAUC